AAUUGUAAUCUAGAGAAGUGUUUUCCGCGCUGGACCGUGUCCAAGUCCUUUGGAACAAGGCGUCAUAGAGGGUGAGAAUCCCGUCUAAGACACGGAUGCUCAAUGCUUUGUGAUACACUCUCAACGAGUCGAGUUGUUUGGGAAUGCAGCUCAAAAUGGGUGGUAAAUUCCAUCUAAAGCUAAAUACAGGCGAAAGACCGAUAGUGAACAAGUACCGUGAGGGAAAGAUGAAAAGCACUUUGGAAAGAGAGUUAAACAGUACGUGAAAUUGUUGAAAGGGAAACGCUUGAAGUCAGUCGCGUCUUCAGAAACUCAGCCUGGCUUCUGGCCUGGUGUACUUUUCUGUUGGACGGGCCAGCAUCAGUUUUGGCUGCCAGAGAAAGGUGAGAGAAAGGUGGCACCUCCGGGUGUGUUAUAGUCUCUCACCAUAUGUGGUGGCUGGGACUGAGGAAUGCAGCAUGCCUUUAUGGCCGGGGUUCGCCCACGUAACAUGCUUAGGAUGCUGGCGUAAUGGCUUUAAACGACCCGUCUUGAAACACGGACCAAGGAGUCUAACAUGCCUGCGAGUAUUUGGGUGGUAAACCCAUAUGCGGAAUGAAAGUGAAACUGUUGGGACUUCUGUCAUGGAAGGCACCGACGCCCGGACCAGAGCUUAUUGUGACGGCUCCGAGGUAGAGCAUGUAUGUUGGGACCCGAAAGAUGGUGAACUAUGCCUGAGUAGGGUGAAGCCAGAGGAAACUCUGGUGGAGGCUCGUAGCGAUUCU
rnacentral:rRNA from 1 species